rnacentral:rRNA from 1 species
UAGUCCACACCGUAAACGAUGAAUGCCAGACGUCGGGGGGCUUGCCCUUCGGUGUCACACCUAACGGAUUAAGCAUUCCGCCUGGGGAGUACGGCCGCAAGGCUAAAACUCAAAGAAAUUGACGGGGACCCGCACAAGCGGUGGAGUAUGUGGCUUAAUUCGAUGCAACGCGAAGAACCUUACCUAGGCUUGACAUGUAUCGCUAAACUACAGAGAUGUAGUGAGCUUUCGAGCACUUUACACAGGUGCUGCAUGGCCGUCGUCAGCUCGUGUCGUGAGAUGUUUGGUUAAGUCCAGCAACGAGCGCAACCCCUGUGGCUAGUUACUAACAUUUAGUUGAGGACUCUAGUCAGACUGCCCAGAUCAACUGGGAGGAAGGUGGGGAUGACGUCAGGUCAGUAUGGCCCUUACGCCUAGGGCUGCACACGUACUACAAUGCCCAGUACAAUGAGAACCGAUACCGCGAGGUGGAGGAAAUCUAUAAAGCUGGGCCCAGUUCGGAUUGG